rnacentral:rRNA from 1 species
AACGAACGCUGGCGGCAGGCUUAACACAUGCAAGUCGAACGCACCUUUCGGGGUGAGUGGCAGACGGGUGAGUAACGCGUGGGAAUCUACCCUUCUCUACGGGAUAGCUCCGGGAAACUGGAAUUAAUACCGUAUACGUCCUGAGGGAGAAAGAUUUAUCGGGGAAGGAUGAGCCCGCGUUGGAUUAGCUAGUUGGUGGGGUAAAGGCCUACCAAGGCGACGAUCCAUAGCUGGUCUAAGAGGAUGAUCAGCCACAUUGGGACUGAGACACGGCCCAAACUCCUACGGGAGGCAGCAGUGGGGAAUAUUGGACAAUGGGGGCAAGCCUGAUCCAGCCAUGCCGCGUGAGUGAUGAAGGCCCUAGGGUUGUAAAGCUCUUUCAGUGGGGACGAUAAUGACGGUACCCACAGAAGAAGCCCCGGCUAACUUCGUG